rnacentral:rRNA from 1 species
UACGUAGGUGGCAAGCGUUAUCCGGAAUUAUUGGGCGUAAAGCGCGCGCAGGUGGUUCUUUAAGUCUGAUGUGAAAGCCCCCGGCUCAACCGGGGAGGGUCAUUGGAAACUGGGGAACUUGAGUAUAGAAGAGGAAAGUGGAAUUCCACGUGUAGCGGUGAAAUGCGUAGAGAUGUGGAGGAACACCAGUGGCGAAGGCGACUUCUGGUCUAUAACUGACACUGGAGGCGCGAAAGCGUGGGGAGCAAACGGG